rnacentral:rRNA from 1 species
AGUGAACGCUGGCGGUAGGCCUAACACAUGCAAGUCGAACGGCAGCACAGGAGAGCUUGCUCUCUGGGUGGCGAGUGGCGGACGGGUGGGGAAUACAUCGGAAUCUACUCUGUCGUGGGGGAUAACGUAGGGAAACUUACGCUAAUACCGCAUACGACCUACGGGUGAAAGCAGGGGACCUUCGGGCCUUGCGCGAUUGAAUGCGCCGAUGUCGGAUUAGCUAGUUGACGGGGUAAAGGCCCACCAAGGCGACGAUCCGUAGCUGGUCUGAGAGGAUGAUCAGCCACACUGGAACUGAGACACGGUCCAGACUCCUACGGGAGGCAGCAGUGGGGAAUAUUGGACAAUGGGCGCAAGCCUGAUCCAGCCAUACCGCGUGGGUGAAGAAGGCCUUCGGGUUGUAAAGCCCUUUUGUUGGGAAAGAAAUCCAGCUGGCUAAUACCCGGUUGGGAUGACGGUACCCAAAAAAUAAGCACCGGCUAACUUCGUGCCAGCUGCCGCGGUAA